rnacentral:rRNA from 1 species
UGGGGAAUUUUGGACAAUGGGGGCAACCCUGAUCCAGCAAUGCCGCGUGUGUGAAGAAGGCCUUCGGGUUGUAAAGCACUUUUGUCCGGAUAGAAAACUUCGGGGCUAAUACCCCUGGAGGAUGACGGUACCGGAAGAAUAAGCACCGGCUAACUACGUGCCAGCAGCCGCGGUAAUACGUAGGGUGCGAGCGUUAAUCGGAAUUACUGGGCGUAAAGCGUGCGCAGGCGGUGCUGUAAGACCGAUGUGAAAUCCCCGGGCUUAACCUGGGAACUGCAUUGGUGACUGCAGCGCUGGAGUAUGGCAGAGGGGGGUGGAAUUCCACGUGUAGCAGUGAAAUGCGUAGAGAUGUGGAGGAACACCGAUGGCGAAGGCAGCCCCCUGGGCCAAUACUGACGCUCAUGCACGAAAGCGUGGGGAGCAAACAGG